GGAGGAUUCAAGCGUUAUCCGGAUUUAUUGGGUUUAAAGGGUGCGUAGGCGGUUUGAUAAGUUAGAGGUGAAAUCCCGGGGCUUAACUCCGGAACUGCCUCUAAUACUGUUAGACUAGAGAGUAGUUGCGGUAGGCGGAAUGUAUGGUGUAGCGGUGAAAUGCUUAGAGAUCAUACAGAACACCGAUUGCGAAGGCAGCUUACCAAACUAUAUCUGACGUUGAGGCACGAAAGCGUGGGGAGCAAACAGGAUUAGAUACCCUGGUAGUCCACGCAGUAAACGAUGAUAACUCGUUGUCGGCGAUACACAGUCGGUGACUAAGCGAAAGCGAUAAGUUAUCCACCUGGGGAGU
rnacentral:rRNA from 1 species